rnacentral:rRNA from 1 species
GUGAGGAAUAUUGGUCAAUGGGCGGGAGCCUGAACCAGCCAAGUCGCGUGAAGGAAGAAGGAUCUAUGGUUCGUAAACUUCUUUUGCAGGGGAAUAAAGUGCAGGACGUGUCCUGUUUUGUAUGUACCCUGAGAAUAAGGAUCGGCUAACUCCGUGCCAGCAGCCGCGGUAAUACGGAGGAUCCGAGCGUUAUCCGGAUUUAUUGGGUUUAAAGGGUGCGUAGGUGGUUUGAUAAGUCAGCGAUGAAAGUUUGCAGCUUAACUGUAAAAAUGCCGUUGAAACUGUCGGACUUGAGUGUAAAUGAGGUAGGCGGAAUGCGUGGUGUAGCGGUGAAAUGCAUAGAUAUCACGCAGAACUCCGAUUGCGAAGGCAGCUUACUAAGCUACAACUGACACUGAAGCACGAAAGCGUGGGGAUCAAACAGGAUUAGAAACCCCAGUAGUCC